rnacentral:tRNA from 1 species
AAUUUAAUAAUUUAAAAUUAAAAUUAUAAUUUGCAAAAUUAUACUUAUCAUUAGUGAUUUAAAUUU